GAUGAACGCUGGCGGCGUGCCUAAUACAUGCAAGUCGAGCGAACGGACGAGAAGCUUGCUUCUCUGAUGUUAGCGGCGGACGGGUGAGUAACACGUGGAUAACCUACCUAUAAGACUGGGAUAACUUCGGGAAACCGGAGCUAAUACCGGAUAAUAUUUUGAACCGCAUGGUUCAAAAGUGAAAGACGGUCUUGCUGUCACUUAUAGAUGGAUCCGCGCUGCAUUAGCUAGUUGGUAAGGUAACGGCUUACCAAGGCAACGAUGCAUAGCCGACCUGAGAGGGUGAUCGGCCACACUGGAACUGAGACACGGUCCAGACUCCUACGGGAGGCAGCAGUAGGGAAUCUUCCGCAAUGGGCGAAAGCCUGACGGAGCAACGCCGCGUGAGUGAUGAAGGUCUUCGGAUCGUAAAACUCUGUUAUUAGGGAAGAACAUAUGUGUAAGUAACUGUGCACGUCUUGACGGUACCUAAUCAGAAAGCCACGGCUAACUUCGUG
rnacentral:rRNA from 1 species